rnacentral:miRNA from 1 species
AGCAACACCUGCGUCUCACAU